CUUAAGUCUUUUUUUUAGAAAAAAAAUGGUUAUAAUAAAAAUUCUUACAUCAUGUCUCUUCAGUAAUAGAAAUAGAAGUUUUGCAUCAUUUGGCCUAUAUUUGCGUAGAAGUCAAGUACAACUCGUCUACUUGGAUUCUUUGUACGAUCUGGGUUUCAUCAGGUUCCUUGAAAUUCUGCAAGUUCUUCAACUGUUUGUGGUAAGCCUCUGACACAUGAUUUACUUUGCUUCUUUUACCCCUUUUUUCCUUUUCUGCUCUG
rnacentral:lncRNA from 1 species